GAUGAACGCUGGCGGCGUGCCUAAUACAUGCAAGUCGAACGCUGGGACUCUACCUUGCUAGAUUGAUCGAGUGGCGAACGGGUGAGUAAUACAUAAGCAACCUACCCAUGAAGACUGGGAUACUUCCUGGAAACGGGGACAAUUACCGGUUAGAUAAUCGGCAGCCUUCUUCGGGUUAUUAAAUGUCGACAGCACUGGUUGGUGGGCCUAUGGAGCAGUUGUUAGUUGGUGAGGUGACUGCCCACGAAGUCGAGGAUUCGUAGGCCGCCUGAGAGGGUGAACGGUGACAGUGGGACUGGGACAAGGCCCAGACUCCUACGGGAGGCAGCAGUAGGGAAUGUUCGGCAAUGGAGGAAACCCUGACCGAGCAACGCCGCGUGAGUGAUGACGGCCUUCGGGUUGUAAAGCUCUGUUGUAAGGGAAGAACGGUAGAUAGAGAAUAUCUAAAUGACGGUACCGUACCAGAAAGCCACGGCUAACUACGUG
rnacentral:rRNA from 1 species